rnacentral:lncRNA from 1 species
GAGCUCUACAAAGAGCUAAUUCUGAGCUAGACUUCCGCAACGACAAGUUGGGUCAAGCUCACUGAGUCAUUAGGGACCUUGAGAAAACUGUCGAGAGGUCAAAUGCAAUGAAGAAAGAAGUGAGGGAAGACUAUGAAGCCCAACUUCUUAAACUAAUGACCACACUCAAGGAAUGUAAGGAUCUCAUAGCUAAGGAACAACUAGAGAUAGACCAGAUUCAUCGAAG